rnacentral:rRNA from 1 species
UACAGAGGGUGCGAGCGUUAAUCGGAAUUACUGGGCGUAAAGCGUGCGUAGACGGCUAUCUAAGUCGGGUGUGAAAGCCCCGGGCUCAACCUGGGAAUUGCAUUCGAGACUGAAUAGCUAGGGUACGGUAGAGGGAAGCGGAAUUUCCGGUGUAGCGGUGAAAUGCGUUGAGAUCGGAAGGAACGCCCGUGGCGAAAGCGAGGUCCUGGACGCCUACUGACGCUGAGACGCGAAAGCCAGGGGAGCGAACGGG